rnacentral:rRNA from 1 species
UACGUAGGGGGCAAGCGUUGUCCGAAUUCAUUGGGCGUAAAGAGCGUGUAGGCGGCCAGGUAGGUCGGUUGUGAAAACUGGAGGCUCAACCUUCAGAGGUCGACCGAAACCAUCUGGCUAGAGUCCGGGAGAGGAGAGUGGAAUUCCUGGUGUAGCGGUGAAAUGCGCAGAUAUCAGGAGGAACACCGAUGGCGAAGGCAGGUCUCUGGGCCACUACUGACGCUGAGAAGCGAAAGCAUGGGGAGCGAACAGG